GGCCCUAUCUUCUAACGGUUAGGAAAUCAGAUUCUCAAUCUGGGAAUUGGAGUUCGAUUCUCCAUGGGGCUA
rnacentral:tRNA from 1 species